rnacentral:sRNA from 1 species
UUACUAAAAACUCCUGCCGCUCACAACC